GACGAACGCUGGCGGCGUGCUUAACACAUGCAAGUCGAACGGAAAGGCCCUGCUUUUGUGGGGUGCUCGAGUGGCGAACGGGUGAGUAACACGUGAGUAACCUGCCCUUGACUUUGGGAUAACUUCAGGAAACUGGGGCUAAUACCGGAUAGGAGCUCCUGCUGCAUGGUGGGGGUUGGAAAGUUUCGGCGGUUGGGGAUGGACUCGCGGCUUAUCAGCUUGUUGGUGGGGUAGUGGCUUACCAAGGCUUUGACGGGUAGCCGGCCUGAGAGGGUGACCGGCCACAUUGGGACUGAGAUACGGCCCAGACUCCUACGGGAGGCAGCAGUGGGGAAUAUUGCACAAUGGGCGGAAGCCUGAUGCAGCAACGCCGCGUGCGGGAUGACGGCCUUCGGGUUGUAAACCGCUUUCGCCUGUGACGAAGCGUGAGUGACGGUAAUGGGUAAAGAAGCACCGGCUAACUACGUGCCAGCAGCCGCGGUGAUACGUAGGGUGCGAGCGUUGUCCGGAUUUAUUGGGCGUAAAGGGCUCGUAGGUGGUUGAUCGCGUCGGAAGUGUAAUCUUGGGGCUUAACCCUGAGCGUGCUUUCGAUACGGGUUGACUUGAGGAAAGUAGGGGGAGAAUGGAAUUCCUGGUGGAGCGGUGGAAUGCGCAAAUAUCAGGAGGAACACCAGUGGCGAAGGCGGUUCUCUGGGCCUUUCCUGACGCUGAGGAGCGAAAGCGUGGGGAGCGAACAGGCUUAGAUACCCUGGUAGUCCACGCUGUAAACGGUGGGUACUAGGUGUGGGGUCCAUUCCACGGGUUCCGUGCCGUAGCUAACGCUUUAAGUACCCCGCCUGGGGAGUACGGCCGCAAGGCUAAAACUCAAAGGAAUUGACGGGGCCCCGCACAAGCGGCGGAGCAUGCGGAUUAAUUCGAUGCAACGCGUAGAACCUUACCUGGGUUUGACAUGGAUCGGGAGUGCUCAGAGAUGGGUGUGCCUCUUUUGGGGUCGGUUCACAGGUGGUGCAUGGCUGUCGUCAGCUCGUGUCGUGAGAUGUUGGGUUAAGUCCCGCAACGAGCGCAACCCUUGUUCACUGUUGCCAGCACGUUAUGGUGGGGACUCAGUGGAGACCGCCGGGGUCAACUCGGAGGAAGGUGGGGAUGACGUCAAGUCAUCAUGCCCCUUAUGUCCAGGGCUUCACGCAUGCUACAAUGGCUGGUACAGAGAGUGGCGAGCCUGUGAGGGUGAGCGAAUCUCGGAAAGCCGGUCUCAGUUCGGAUUGGGGUCUGCAACUCGACCUCAUGAAGUCGGAGUCGCUAGUAAUCGCAGAUCAGCAACGCUGCGGUGAAUACGUUCCCGGG
rnacentral:rRNA from 1 species